CUUCAGGAAGCCGGACAUUGUGGUGUGCGGUGAGGAUGCCUUAACUGUCAUCCACAUUGCGGUCGCCGGCGAGGAGCUUAUAAAGUCGGUCUAUGACGGAAAGGUCCGCUUCUAUUAAACAGUGGAAGUCCAGGAGAAUCUUUGGAGGAUCCUUGGCCGCCCAGCUGACUUUCUGAUCUCCCAUGAACCCGCCAUUUUCUCGUAACGAGGUGCCCUGCAUCCGAGCAGCGAAGCCGGAUUGCGGCUUUUGGAUCUGUCAAAGUUUGAUCUCUCGGAUUUGUGCUUGAUGGUGGAACGUGGUUCAUUGAAAGCCUACGACGUCCACAUGCGUGUAGCUGGUGGUCGGGUGCACAGAUAACUCAACGUUGUGGCCCCGCGGGUGUUAAAAUGGUGCAGGAGACCUUAAUCGACUUGUAGCCCCCCUGUUUAACUGGCACGGAGUUGUCCAGGGGCAGACGACCGUUGUCUGAGGAAGUCGCUUGCGGAUGCUCCCCGUUGGAGAUUGCUAUGUGUUGCCCCUCUUGUCCCAGCUUCUAACUGUUGCCUAUCAGCAUCCCGACUGCAUAACUGGACAGUGUUCUCUUAGUGUUGCAAUGAUUGCAUUUCUGGGAAAUUUCUGCCCAAUUUGUAUCUUUAUUUUGGGUAUAAUAAAUACUUUCUAGCCAAAUGCCUCCUCAUCUAAUAAGUGACGCGCAUGAAUGGAUUAACGAGAUUCAUACCUUCUAUAUCUACUAUCUAGCGAAACCACAGUCAAGGGAACGGGCUUGGCAGAAUCGGAGGAGAAAGAAGACCCUGUCGAGCUUGACUCUAGUCCGACUCUGUGAAGAGACAUGGCGGGGG
rnacentral:ncRNA from 1 species